GACGAACGCUGGCGGCGUGCCUAAUACAUGCAAGUAGAACGCACAGUUUAUACCGUAGCUUGCUACACCAUAGACUGUGAGUUGCGAACGGGUGAGUAACGCGUAGGUAACCUGCCUGGUAGCGGGGGAUAACUAUUGGAAACGAUAGCUAAUACCGCAUAAUAUUAAUUAUUGCAUGAUAAUUAAUUGAAAGGUGCAAUUGCACCACUACCAGAUGGACCUGCGUUGUAUUAGCUAGUAGGUGAGGUAACGGCUCACCUAGGCGACGAUACAUAGCCGACCUGCGAGGGUGAUCGGCCACACUGGGACUGAGACACGGCCCAGACGCCUACGGGAGGCAGCAGGAGGGAAUCUUCGGCAAGGGACGAAAGUCUGACCGAGCAACGCCGCGGGAGUGAAGAAGGUUGUCGGAUCGUAAAGCUCUGUUGUAAGAGAAGAACGGGUGUGAGAGUGGAAAGUUCACACUGUGACGGUAUCUUACCAGAAAGGGACGGCUAACUACGUG
rnacentral:rRNA from 1 species